AUUGAACGCUGGCGGCAGGCCUAACACAUGCAAGUCGAGCGGAUGAAGGGAGCUUUCUCCUGGAUUCAGCGGCGGACGGGUGAGUAAUGCCUAGGAAUCUGCCUGGUAGUGGUGGAUAACGUCCGGAAACGGGCGCUAAUACCGCAUACUUCCUGAGGGAGAAAGUGGGGGAUCUUCGGACCUCACGCUAUCAGAUGAGCCUAGGUCGGAUUAGCUAGUUGGUGGGGUAAAGGCCUACCAAGGCGACGAUCCGUAACUGGUCUGAGAGGAUGAUCAGUCACACUGGAACUGAGACACGGUCCAGACUCCUGAGGGAGGCAGCAGUGGGGAAUAUUGGACAAUGGGCGAAAGCCUGAUCCAGACAUGCCGCGUGUGUGAAGAAGGUCUUCGGAUUGUAAAGCACUUUAAGUUGGGAGGAAGGGCAGUAAGUUAAUACCUUGCUGUUUUGACGUUAACAACAGAAUAAGCACCGGCUAACUUCGUG
rnacentral:rRNA from 1 species